AAAGUGAGUCAGGGAAAUUUGACAGUGCACCCUCAAGAUUGGAUAAGCUUCCAUUUUACAGAAUUCCGAACUUAAAGCUGCACCAAUAUGUUUUCCUAUUUCCAUCGUCAUGCUGAUGCCAAAGAGAGGCUGUGAGAUACAUCCAACAAUACAGCUCAUAUGUCCAAGCAGACAGAGGAUAUACACAAACGAAAUUGAAGUGUAUAUGCCACACAAGUUGAAACAGCAGGGAUGCAGGACUUGCAGUUGAGCCAAGAUAUACAAGGAAUUGUAGAAUUGUGAGCUA